GACGAACGCUGGCGGCGUGCUUAACACAUGCAAGUCGAACGGUGAAGCGCCUUCCUUUUUGGUGGGUGUGGAUGAGUGGCGAACGGGUGAGUAACGCGUGAGUAACCUGCCCCCUUCUUCUGGAUAACCGCAUGAAAGUGUGGCUAAUACGGGAUAUUCUGGGUCUGUCGCAUGAUGGGUCUGGGAAAGAUAUUGUUUCGGUGGGGGAUGGGCUCGCGGCCUAUCAGCUUGUUGGUGGGGUGAUGGCCUACCAAGGCGGUGACGGGUAGCCGGCCUGAGAGGGGGGACGGGCAACUGGGGACUGGGACACGGCCCGACCCCCGCGGGGAGGGAGCGGGGGGGAAAUUUGAACAAGGGGGGAAAGCCUGAGGGAGCGGGGCCGGGGGGGGGGGGGGGGCCGUGGGGUGGGGAACCUUUUUGGGCAGGGAAGCAGGCCGGCCCCGUUUGGGGGGGGGUUGGCGGUAGCUGGAAAAGAAGCGCCGGCAAAUUAGGU
rnacentral:rRNA from 1 species